CGCUAAGAAGCUAAAUAGGGUUAAGCAUUAGCCUUUUAAGCUAAAUAAUGGUGCCUCCCAACCACCCCUAGCGA
rnacentral:tRNA from 1 species